AGAGUUUGAUCCUGGCUCAGAACGAACGCUGGCGGCGCGCCUAACACAUGCAAGUCGGACGCACUCAGCAAUGGGUGAGUGGCGGACGGGUGAGUAACACGUGGGAACCUGCCCUGGGGUCUGGGAUAACUGCGGGAAACUGCAGGUAACACCAGAUGUGCCCUUAGGGGAAAAGUUUACGCCCUGGGAUGGGCCCGCGUCGGAUUAGGUAGUUGGUGGGGUAAUGGCCUACCAAGCCUUCGAUCCGUAACCGGUCUGAGAGGAUGAUCGGUCACACUGGGACUGAGACACGGCCCAGACUCCUACGGGAGGCAGCAGUGGGGAAUCUUGGACAAUGGGGGCAACCCUGAUCCAGCGACGCCGCGUGGGUGAUGAAGGCCUUCGGGUCGUAAAGCCCUUUUGCCGGGGAAGAUGAUGACGGUACCCGGAGAAGAAGCACCGGCUAACUCUGUGCCAGCAGCCGCGGUAAGACAGAGGGUGCUAGCGUUGUUCGGAAUUACUGGGCGUAAAGGGCGCGUAGGCGGCUCGUUUAGUCGGGUGUGAAAUCCCAAGGCUCAACCUUGGAACUGCAUUCGAUACUGGCGGGCUAGAGACCGGAAGAGGUGGGUGGAAUACCCAGUGUAGAGGUGAAAUUCGUAGAUAUUGGGUGGAACACCGGUGGCGAAGGCGGCUCACUGGUCCGGUUCUGACGCUGAGGCGCGAAAGCGUGGGGAGCAAACAGGAUUAGAUACCCUAGUAGUCC
rnacentral:rRNA from 1 species